rnacentral:lncRNA from 1 species
GGCCAGCAGCUGGCUCGGGGAGCAGCGGCUGCCGCGGAAGGGCAGGGUGCCCGGGAGUCCGUGCUGGGCCAGGGCAGAGUGUGCCUGGGAGGCCAGAGCGGGGCCGGUGUCUGCCGCGUUCCCUGGAGACCGUGUCCACGCCGAGUUCUGCGCCAGCUCUGCUCCCACGACACGCGUGCCCCGUCUCUCCCCAUGGCAUGCGGCUGACGAAGCUGUCGGCCUGUGAAACAUUUAGAAAAGAUUUGCUUACUUGUCUAUUUGAAUGGCAGUGUACGAGAGAGAGAGAGAGAGAGAGAGAGAGAGAGAGAGAGAGAGGAGAGACACAGGGCUGGUUCAUCCCCCAAAUGGCCGCUACAGCCCGGGCUGGGCCAGGAGCGCCAUCCGGGCUCCCGCGUGGGUGCAGGAGCCCAAGCACUCGAGUCGCCUCCUGCUGCCUCCCCAGGUGCAUCAGCAGGAAACCGGGUGGAAAGUGGAGAAGCUGGGGCCGAAGCCGGUGUGCUGCCAUGGGGUGCCGGUGUCACAAGCGGUGGCUUUGCCCCCUGCACCUCAGUGCCGGCCCCCGCCUGCUGCGCGUGCUGUGGCUAAGGCCGGAGGUAGCAGUGUCCAGCACAUGCCAGUGUUCGCUGGGCACUGGCCCGGUGCUGGUGGGCUCUGAUUCUGCUGCCCAUGCGCCAGAGCGAGGGGUCCCAGGGGUGCAAAGCUCUUCCUUCGCUUCCCGUCUUGUCACCCAACAAGGCCCUGCGGGCGCUGUCGGAGAGACACAGAGGGGCGGCCUGGCUGCGGAACACAGGUCACCGCUGGCCGCCCUGCCCGGGAAGGCUGGGGGCAGCGGCUGUGCGGUCUCAGCUGGGGGACACCUUCACUUCCCUGGUGUCGUGUCCCUGUCUGGACCGUCCGCCUGCCUGGGACGUGGGACUGCGGUCUGGGGUGAUAGCGACACGAGGAACAGCCUCAUGUGCUGGGGGAGGUUGGGGCAAAUGGGGUCUCGGACCUGGGCUUGUGGAUUCGUCACUUUCCGUAGAGAAUCCCACUGCCCAUGGCUGGGUCCCUGGUGGGAGUGAGGAACCGCCUCAGGAUCCCCAGCGGCCCGGAGUCACCUGCGGGCUGGCCC